UAAAUAUGAAUAUGCUUACCGUAGACAGUAGGUGCCGUGAGGCUUAAUUUCCUACCGAGGUGUUGUGAUAGAACGUCGCUGUACACAGCUGGGCUGUGUGCGGAUGAUCCAUCAAAGCCUUCGUGAUUCUGCGGAGGCUUUUUUCAAUGCCUUG
rfam:Paenibacillus sp. oral taxon 786 str. D14 genomic scaffold supercont1.24, whole genome shotgun sequence.